rnacentral:rRNA from 1 species
GACGAACGCUGGCGGCGUGCUUAACACAUGCAAGUCGAACGUAAAGGCCCUGCUUUUGUGGGGUGCUCGAGUGGCGAACGGGUGAGUAACACGUGAGUAACCUGCCCUUGACUUUGGGAUAACUUCAGGAAACUGGGGCUAAUACCGGAUAGGAGCUCCUGCUGCAUGGUGGGGGUUGGAAAGUUUCGGCGGUUGGGGAUGGACUCGCGGCUUAUCAGCAUGUUGGUGGGGUAGUGGCUUACCAAGGCUUUGACGGGUAGCCGGCCUGAGAGGGUGACCGGCCACAUUGGGACUGAGAUACGGCCCAGACUCCUACGGGAGGCAGCAGUGGGGAAUAUUGCACAAUGGGCGGAAGCCUGAUGCAGCAACGCCGCGUGCGGGAUGACGGCCUUCGGGUUGUAAACCGCUUUCGCCUGUGACGAAGCGUGAGUGACGGUAAUGGGUAAAGAAGCACCGGCUAACUACGUG